UACGAAGGGAGCUAGCGUUGUUCGGAAUCACUGGGCGUAAAGCGCACGUAGGCGGAUGUGUCAGUCAGAGGUGAAAUCCCGGAGCUCAACUUCGGAACUGCCUUUGAUACAGCACGUCUUGAGUCCGAUAGAGGUGGGUGGAAUUCCUAGUGUAGCGGUGAAAUGCGUAGAUAUACGGAGGAACACCAGCGGCGAAGGCGGGUAGCUGGGCCAACACUGACGCUGAUGCGCGAAAGCUAGGGGAGCAAACGGG
rnacentral:rRNA from 1 species